UGGUAGUAGUGAAUGUGCUGGACAUGAGCAGAGGUCAAUGUGUCGGACAUGUUAAAGCAGUGAAGGACGUGGACAUGUGAAGGAGGUGGAUAUGUGAAGGAGGUGGACAUGUCAUGUGAAGGAGGUGGACAUGUCGUGUGAAGGAGGUGGACAUGUGAAGGAGGUGGAUAUGUGAAGGAGGUGGACAUGUGAAGCAGGUGUACAUGUGAAGGAGGUGGACAUGUGAAGGAGGUGGACAUGUGAAAGUGGUUAGU